rnacentral:lncRNA from 1 species
ACAAGUGGUCCUGCUCUGAUCCUGCCAAGGACUCAGAAAAAACAUUGUUAAAUGAUGAAUAAAAAUGACUUGAAAUUUCAUGGUUGUGACCUCCAUGAGCUAGGCUUUCACAUUGCAGCACAGCUUUCCAUGGAGAUCAUUGGAGGAAACCUCAGACUGUGACGUCACCUAUGACUCCGAUCUGUGUUCCCUGUUGUAACUGAAGGACUCUUUUAUUCUUCAGACACACAUACCCCAUGAAGAAAUGGGUAUGUGAUAGACUGAUAACUGUAGGAAGCAGUCUUUUCAUUAGUAGCAAAUGAAAGAUUCUGACAAAUAAACGGACUAAUAAAUAGACUAAUUACA